CAAUGACAACCUUUAUUAUAUGACUAAAUUAAUUACAUUAUCAACUGUUUCUGCUAUAACCAAUGGUUACAAACUGUUCUGAAACAUGUUUUGUCUCGGUAUAACCGCGAAUAUUGUGUGGGGCGAAGAUGACGAAGAUCGCGUGCGAUCUGACCGCGAGGCGCUCGGCCACGCUGGAAGCAAGCGUAUGACGUGGCUCGUUGGGAUGCGUCGGGGCAGUCAAUCAGAGAACGCAUCACCUGCGCUGUGCACGACGGCGAAGCGGGCUACUGGACGACAACACGGCUGCUCCAUACCUUCCCCGAAAAGAUUGUUCGUAGCGGGAAUCCUUCUGGACAAAGUGGGCCACAGCAUGGCGAGGCGGAUGGCAGAACAGCAAGCCGACACCACGGGACGCCAAAUUUGGCUGCCGGAGCAGGGAUUUACGUGCCGCGGCGACGCGAGUUGCUGCAAGGCGGCCACUACGCUGCGUAACAUCCAGGGCAACAUUGGGCUGUUCGGCACCUUGCACGACAUCGUGGACGAGGAGCACGGACACCACGCCUAUGCUGAUGACAUCUUCCUGCAGCCGCAGCUGUCAUCCCUGUCCUCAUCGCUGUUCGAGGACCCAGUGCAAAGUGGACGCCUCGCACAGGAAACCUCUGCGGAGAAGAAACUCCUGGAACGAGUCCGACAUCCCUGCUCCAACAGGCGUCCCUCUUGCUGCUGUGUCAAGCCAUCGACACCGUGCCUUGGACAUCGGCGACUGCCGCGAAGCAGACCGCCGAAGCAAGGAAGAGUCUGCAAUUAAUUUUAAUUUCACUGGCAGCGCUGGCACAUGCUACAAGACUUGGAACCCAGUGUCCCAGCAAGUCAUAGCAAUGGUGGAAAGGACGAUAAUUGCAAAAUAUGUUAAUUUUUCUGCCACUUGCUUGUGCUAGCAUAGAACCAACGGUUUGCAAAAUGUUUGCUCUUUUAAUUACAAUUUUAUGCACCAAAUGAAUAAUUCUGUAAUGAAAACGAUGUCGUACCAUUAAUUGGUAUGUUUAAUAAAACCAGAUUUAGGCGUCGA